rnacentral:rRNA from 1 species
GUUAAUCCCAUCGCCCUUGCCCGAUCCCUCUCGAGUCUCCUCCCUCGCCUCCCCCGUCCCCUUCCCCUCCCCCCUCUCGGAUCCGCCCCCCCGCGGCCCGCCCCUCGCCGCCGGCGACCAUGUCCAAGUACGGCACCAUCCCCACCUCCUCCUCCUCCGCCGCCGCGGGGGCGCCCCACCUCGGCGGCGCCUCCCCGCUCGACUUCAUCUCCCGCGCCAAGGCCCGCGGCGCGACGGCGCUGGCCACGCGCCGGCCGUGGCGCGAGCUCGCGGACGUGCACGCCAUCGGGCUGCCCCCGAGCCUCGGCGACGCCUACCUGCGCGUGCGCGCCAACCUCGCCCACUUCGCCAUGAACUACGCCAUCGUCGUCCUCGUCGUCGUCUUCCUCUCCCUCCUCUGGCAGCCCAUCUCCCUCAUCGUCUUCCUCGUCUGCAUGGUCGGCUGGCUCGUCCUCUACUUCCUCCACGACGAGCCCAUCGUCCUCUUCGGCCGCGUCGUCGGCGACGGCGUGGUCCUCGCCGUGCUCGCUGCUGUCACGCUCAUCCUCCUGCUGCUCACCGGCGCCACCACCAACAUCCUCACGUCGCUGCUCAUCGGCUUCGUGCUCGUCGUGGUGCACGCCGCCCUGCACAAGGCGGAGGACAACGUUGACGAAGAGGUCGGCCGCUGGUACGCGCCUGUGCCAGCGCAGUAGUGUGAGAUCGCUCGCCCUCCAACUCUUGGGCCUGAGUGUGCUCGAUUCUCCUGGUCCUCCCUUCGUUCUCAAGUAUUCUAUGAGUGUAAGUUUAGCAUUGGUAUAUGGUCUCGGUCCAGUCAGGAUGAAGAACUUGUAGCUGGUGGUUCGUCUUCCGCAUGACGCUGGUUCAUCUGAAGCUUUUGAUCCAGUGAUGAUGGAAGGUUGUAAACUUUGGUCGUUGCGUACAGUUCAAAGAUUUUCUCUUGUUUACAUGUACCAAAUAUGGGAGAGAACGAAUCUGCACUCUGAAGUGUGAGAACUCAGCUGGCAGGGGCCCUCUGUGAGGCUGGUAUGCAUUACUUCGUGCUGGUAAUUUCUGAUCUACUCACGUGGUUUCAUCUUGUAUGCACACGGUUUUGUUUGAAAGAGAUUGUCAAUUCCGCGCCAAUUAACCGCGCGGCUACUAUCUGCAAGCUGUCGGACAUCUUGGGAAGUCUAUGUAGGAAAUUGUUUUACUCUGUUCAUUUUAUUUACUAUAUCUUCUGAAAUACAGGAUGUGUAUUGUUGAUCUUUUCUUUUAUACCUCU